GCAGCAGCAAAGUCCUAAAGGGUUGGAGAAAAAGAAAUCUCUUGGCCAUGAAGUCUGGUGCUGGAGCUGAGACAUGAAUGAAGCAAACAGCACAAAUCUGUGGCCAGAACCACUCAGCAGAGAGUGAGAAAUGCUGAUCCCCUACAGCUCAACACAGACUUGCUUGGCCAACUCAAAGAGUUGAGCCUUUGGAGGAUGAAGGCUCUUCCACUACUCACAUCGUGCAGCAUGAAGGAAACCAGUGCUUUCAAAAGGUUCUCCAUUUUAAG